rnacentral:rRNA from 1 species
GUAGGUGGCAAGCGUUGUUCGGAAUUAUUGGGCGUAAAGCGCGCGCAGGCGGUUCUUUAAGUCUGAUGUGAAAGCCCACGGCUCAACCGUGGAGGGUCAUUGGAAACUGGAGAACUUGAGUACAGAAGAGGAAAGCGGAAUUCCACGUGUAGCGGUGAAAUGCGUAGAGAUGUGGAGGAACACCAGUGGCGAAGGCGGCUUUCUGGUCUGUAACUGACGCUGAGGCGCGAAAGCGUGGGGAGCAAACAGGGAUUAGAUACCCUGGUAGUCCACGCCGUAAACGAUGAGUGCUAAGUGUUAGGGGGGUUUCCGCCCCCUUAGUGCUGCAGCUAACGCAUUAAGCACUCCGCCUGGGGAUACGGCCGCAAGGCUA